rnacentral:rRNA from 1 species
AAAGCAGGGGAUCGUAAGACCUUGCGCUUUUGGAGCGGCCGAUGCCUGAUUAGCUAGUUGGUGGGGUAAAGGCUUACCAAGGCAACGAUCAGUAGUUGGUCUGAGAGGACGGCCAGCCACACUGGGACUGAGACACGGCCCAGACUCCUACGGGAGGCAGCAGUGGGGAAUUUUGGACAAUGGGCGCAAGCCUGAUCCAGCAAUGCCGCGUGAGUGAAGAAGGCCUUCGGGUUGUAAAGCUCUUUCAGUCGAGAAGAAAAGAUUGUGACGAAUAAUCACAAUUCAUGACGGUAUCGACAGAAGAAGCACCGGCUAACUACGUGCCAGCAGCCGCGGUAAUACGUAGGGUGCAAGCGUUAAUCGGAAUUACUGGGCGUAAAGGGUGCGCAGGCGGCUUUGUAAGUCAGAUGUGAAAUCCCCGGGCUUAACCUGGGAAUUGCGUUUGAAACUACAAAGCUAG